rnacentral:rRNA from 1 species
CGCACGGGUGAGUAACGCGUAACUGACCUACCCUCAAGUCUGGAAUAACGGGUCGAAAGAUCCGCUAAUACUGGAUGUGCAGUGUCGCUGUGGCGACACUGUAAAGAUUGAUCGCUUGAGGAUGGGGUUGCGUUUCAUCAGCUGGUUGGUGGGGUAAAGGCCUACCAAGGCGACGACGAAUAGCCGGCCUGAGAGGGUGGCCGGCCACAGGGGCACUGAGACACGGGUCCC